AAUUUAUCAUGCCCUUCGACUUCGAGAACUCGAGCACUCGAGCGAACGACUUCGAGAACUCAAGCUCUCGAGCUCGAGAGCGAGAGCGAGAGCGAGAGAGAGAGAGGAAAGUUGGUCAUGGAGUCAUCUUCCUCUUCGCCCACCUCCUCCACCCACUGUUUCUCUCCUCAUUCACAGGGGGAGGUGAAGCUUACCAUCACGCAGUUGGAGCAAGAGAGCGUGGAGAGGAAUGUGUUUGAGAUUUACCGUCACCUCGCUGAAGCUCCCCCUCAGGCCAAGCCUUUCAUUAUGGCAACUUUGCUUAUAUAAGGAAAGGACAUGACUUGGAUCAAAAGAUUAAAUCUAAGGCCUUCCAGGAGAUUUAAAAGGAUGGCAUUUAAGGGUGCAGCUUUUGGCAUGAUGAGCAUGUUGAGUUCUUAAC